GAUGAACGCUGGCGGCGUGCCUAAUACAUGCAAGUCGAGCGAACAGAUAAGGAGCUUGCUCCUUUGACGUUAGCGGCGGACGGGUGAGUAACACGUGGGUAACCUACCUAUAAGACUGGGAUAACUUCGGGAAACCGGAGCUAAUACCGGAUAAUAUUUCGAACCGCAUGGUUCGAUAGUGAAAGAUGGUUUUGCUAUCACUUAUAGAUGGACCCGCGCCGUAUUAGCUAGUUGGUAAGGUAACGGCUUACCAAGGCGACGAUACGUAGCCGACCUGAGAGGGUGAUCGGCCACACUGGAACUGAGACACGGUCCAGACUCCUACGGGAGGCAGCAGUAGGGAAUCUUCCACAAUGGGCGAAAGCCUGACGGAGCAACGCCGCGUGAGUGAUGAAGGUCUUCGGAUCGUAAAACUCUGUUAUUAGGGAAGAACAUAAGUGUAAGUAACUGUGCACGUCUUGACGGUACCUAAUCAGAAAGCCACGGCUAACUACGUG
rnacentral:rRNA from 1 species